rnacentral:rRNA from 1 species
CUUUUACAAUGAAGAGUUUGAUCCUGGCUCAGGAUGAACGCUAGCUACAGGCUUAACACAUGCAAGUCGAGGGGCAGCAUUUCAGUUUGCUUGCAAACUGGAGAUGGCGACCGGCGCACGGGUGAGUAACACGUAUCCAACCUGCCGAUAACUCGGGGAUAGCCUUUCGAAAGAAAGAUUAAUACCCGAUGGUAUAAUCAGACCGCAUGGUCUGGUUAUUAAAGAAUUUCGGUUAUCGAUGGGGAUGCGUUCCAUUAGGCAGUUGGUGAGGUAGCGGCUCACCAAACCUUCGAUGGAUAGGGGUUCUGAGAGGAAGGUCCCCCACAUUGGAACUGAGACACGGUCCAAACUCCUACGGGAGGCAGCAGUGAGGAAUAUUGGUCAAUGGGCGCAGGUCUGAACCAGCCAAGUAGCGUGAAGGAUGACUGCCCUAUGGGUUGUAAACUUCUUUUAUAUGGGAAUAAAGUUUUCCACGUGUGGAAUUUUGUAUGUACCAUAUGAAUAAGGAUCGGCUAACUCCGUGCCAGCAGCCGCGGUAAUACGGAGGAUCCGAGCGUUAUCCGGAUUUAUUGGGUUUAAAGGGAGCGUAGGUGGACAGUUAAGUCAGUUGUGAAAGUUUGCGGCUCAACCGUAAAAUUGCAGUUGAUACUGGCUGUCUUGAGUACAGUAGAGGUGGGCGGAAUUCGUGGUGUAGCGGUGAAAUGCUUAGAUAUCACGAAGAACUCCGAUUGCGAAGGCAGCUCACUGGACUGCAACUGACACUGAUGCUCGAAAGUGUGGGUAUCAAACAGGAUUAGAUACCCUGGUAGUCCACACAGUAAACGAUGAAUACUCGCUGUUUGCGAUAUACAGUAAGCGGCCAAGCGAAAGCAUUAAGUAUUCCACCUGGGGAGUACGCCGGCAACGGUGAAACUCAAAGGAAUUGACGGGGGCCCGCACAAGCGGAGGAACAUGUGGUUUAAUUCGAUGAUACGCGAGGAACCUUACCCGGGCUUAAAUUGCAUUUGAAUAAUCUGGAAACAGGUUAGCCGCAAGGCAAAUGUGAAGGUGCUGCAUGGUUGUCGUCAGCUCGUGCCGUGAGGUGUCGGCUUAAGUGCCAUAACGAGCGCAACCCUUAUCUUUAGUUACUAACAGGUCAUGCUGAGGACUCUAGAGAGACUGCCGUCGUAAGAUGUGAGGAAGGUGGGGAUGACGUCAAAUCAGCACGGCCCUUACGUCCGGGGCUACACACGUGUUACAAUGGGGGGUACAGAAGGCAGCUACCUGGUGACAGGAUGCUAAUCCCAAAAGCCUCUCUCAGUUCGGAUCGAAGUCUGCAACCCGACUUCGUGAAGCUGGAUUCGCUAGUAAUCGCGCAUCAGCCAUGGCGCGGUGAAUACGUUCCCGGGCCUUGUACACACCGCCCGUCAAGCCAUGAAAGCCGGGGGUACCUGAAGUACGUAACCGCAAGGAGCGUCCUAGGGUAAAACUGGUAAUUGGGGCUAAGUCGUAACAAGGUAGCCGUACCGGAAGGUGCGGCUGGAACACCUCCUUU